CAGUCGAGGGGUAUAGUAGCAAUACUAGAGACCGGCGCACGGGUGCGUAACGCGUAUGCAAUCUACCUUUUACAGAGGGAUAGCCCAGAGAAAUUUGGAUUAAUACCUCAUAGUGUAUUUGAGUGGCAUCACUUGAUUACUAAAGUUCCAACGGUAAAAGAUGAGCAUGCGUCCUAUUAGCUAGUUGGUGUGGUAACGGCACACCAAGGCUACGAUAGGUAGGGGUCCUGAGAGGGAGAUCCCCCACACUGGUACUGAGACACGGACCAGACUCCUACGGGAGGCAGCAGUGAGGAAUAUUGGACAAUGGGCGCAAGCCUGAUCCAGCCAUGCCGCGUGCAGGAAGACGCAUCUAUGGUGUGUAAACUGCUUUUGUACGGGAAGAAACACUCCUACGUGUAGGAGCUUGACGGUACCGUAAGAAUAAGGAUCGGCUAACUCCGUGCCAGCAGCCGCGGUAAUACGGAGGAUCCAAGCGUUAUCCGGAAUCAUUGGGUUUAAAGGGUCCGUAGGCGGUUUGAUAAGUCAGUGGUGAAAGCCCAUCGCUCAACGAUGGAACGGCCAUUGAUACUGUCAGACUUGAAUUACUGGGAAGUAACUAGAAUAUGUAGUGUAGCGGUGAAAUGCUUAGAUAUUACAUGGAAUACCAAUUGCGAAGGCAGGUUACUACCAGUGGAUUGACGCUGAUGGACGAAAGCGUGGGGAGCGAACAGGAUUAGAUACCCUGGUAGUCCACGCCGU
rnacentral:rRNA from 1 species